CGGGGUGUAGCUCAGUUGGAAGAGCGCAUGCUUUGGGAGCAUGAGGUCGCAGGUUCGAGACCUGUCACCCCGA
rnacentral:tRNA from 2 species